GGCUCUUAAGAUUAAGAUAUAUUGUUCAGACACAGAAAGAGGUGUUUCAGAUGUGACUUUGCCUGUAAGAAACGGAUAUCCGAAAAAUCCUGUCCUGAAAAUAAAACAUUUAUUUUACGAAUAAUUGAAAGUUUAAAAACAGACCAACGACUCACCUGACUGCAGGACGUUUGACAACAGUGUCCAAAAACCGGCUCUCCACUAAAACUGAAUCAGACAUUUUGGGGACACCAAAACAGCAAAGAUGGCUGGUCUCUGGUGGAUCACUGUGACGAUGGUCUUCUGUCUGUCUGCUGGAAGUUUGGCUGAAAUAAACCAAAACCAGCUCGCAACACUCAUAUAUCAUCUAACAAGAACAGUCAGACACGAGUACAAUAUAUAUUCAAUGUAUGCCGUGGCCGCAAGUAUUCCGAAGGAUGAAAGCAGAGUCUCUUAUGACCUAAGAAGGGUGACGGAUACAAACCAACGGAUACAAUUCAAUGACGGUAUCCUCGGGACUUCUAGAUUUGUGGUAGCCCCAAUAAAAUACAUAACCAAUAACAACGGGGUCUAUCUAUAUACUCAACAUGCAGAGUGGCGUCUUCUGCAGAAUCUAAAUCUUAAAGGUCAGGAUGGUGAUUUGUUGGUCUUCUUCUCUUAUGCUACUCCAUGUUUGACAAGCUGCGCAAAUCCAAAUGGAAACUACAAGAUCACUGAUUCGCUUCAAACACUCUUUACUGAACCCAAGUGGGGAGAAAAGGCAUUUGUGUUUGAAGCUAUAUUCAGGCCAGGUGAGAUGAACAUUGAUUCAGAUGAAAAAAGAGAUGAAAUAAAACGCAAUACAACAAAGGCCUUGACAAAUAUUGCGAACUCCAUUGGCUCCGAAAACAUAUUUCGCUGUUACAGACCUGAUAAUCAUGAUUACAUUUGCAUUAAAUGCUUCAAUGGUGAUCAGAUUGAGCCAAACUGUAUCUCAUAAUGCACCAAUUCAUUUAUGCAAAAAGGAAUGUUUUAAAAAAUAAUUGUAAAAAUUUAGUUAAAUCCACGCUGAACAUUUUUAAUGCUUUGUUUUCAUUUUUUUAAGCUGAAGUCUCCACUCGCGCUCUACUUGUUCACUUUCUGCCUUUAACUUGGAAUUUACUGUCUGAGUGAUGACUCAGCAAUUUAAGGUCCAGCUACAUUUAUAUUUGUCUUUGAUAACUGAUACAAACCAUAAGUCGCUAUUUUAAUUCUCUUUGAAAUUUAAUGCAGCUCAGUUUAGCCCCAAAACUGAUCGUGAUAGUCGUGCGGAAUUAGAUUUGGCUUUAACAAUAUGAUAUCAAAUCCAAAUACUUCGAAUUUACAGAUCUACUUAUGAUACUACUACUACUACUACUACUACUACUACUACUACUACUACUACUACUACUACUACUACUACUACUACUACUACUACUAAUAAUAAUACAUUUUAUUUAAAAGCACCUUUCAAGACAUCCAAAGACACUUAGCAAUAGAAUCAAACACAAAGUAGAACAAUGACAAAACAAAAAGAUAAAAUCAACAAACAAUAAUUUCACAUUUAGAUUAAGGCUACGGCUGAAAUUAAGUAAAAGUAAGUAAAAAUGUAAUCUUUGUGUCAUUUCUAAAAUAAUAAUUCUUGUAAUACACGCCUCAAGCCCAUUGUCUACAAAAUGAUAUAGCUCUCAAUUUACUGCUAAAACAUAAAAAAAUACAAUAUCCACCGUUUUAUUAUCACGGUGGAGUAAUGUUUGCUGAAGUCAAGAUAAAAUCUGUCAACGGUAACAGUCACAGUCAAAUAUCACGGUUAUUUCAGUUUUAUUUGCAUGUUCAAAAUAAAAUUCUGUUAUUUUUUUUAUAUUUGAGUUGGUAACACUUUAUGAUAAACAUGGUUAAUUGUUGGUAAACUAUUAAUAGUGAAAAGAUCAAAAAUAAUAACUUUAAUAACUGUUGUGAAAGAGAUUCACGACGAUUAUCGCAAAGUUACAACAGAUGUAAAUGUAAUAGUUUAGAAGUAGUUACUGAAACCUGUGUGUUUCAGAUAAAAGCAGUAUGUGGAUGGUUAUUGUGAGGCUGAAAGAAGCUUUGCUUUAAAUAAUGAAUGUAAAGUAGGCCGAUGGGGUGGCAGAGCCAUAAACCACAAUGUGCCUGAGGAACACCUUUUAUGUGCUGUUUUGGGUGGCUGUAGUCUAGGAGGUAAAGUAGGUCACCUACUGAUCGGAAGGUUGGUGGUUCGAUCCCUGGCUCCUCCAGUCUGCAUGUCAAUUAUUCUUGGGCAAGAUACUAACCCCAAGUUGCUCUCUGAUGCAUCCAUCGGAGUGUGAAUGUAGUUAGAAAGCACUAAGUAUAGAGACAGUGCUUGUGAGAAUGGGUGUGAUGUAUAGAGCGCUUACUCUGGGAGACUAGAAAAGUGCUAUAUAAGAAUCAGUCCAUUUCACUCACUGUCCAUGUUUAUUUGACUCCCCGAGGAUUAGAACAAAUAACCACAAACUAAUUACAUAUGUAGGAAUCAAUAGCAUUACACAUGAUUAGUAAACAUUAUCAAAUAUAAUUUAUUGUUUUGUUUACUGUUUAUUAAGAAUAAUUAUUAUGAAGUGUCACUUUUGAUGUGUUUUGUUGGUGCUUUUAUUUUGAAUGUGUUUGCAGCUGUACUUUGAAUAACAGCUGGAACUGAAUCUGUAAUCUCCCUGUUAGUUGAAGAGAAGGCUGAUAGAAAACUGCAGUCUGUAAUAAAUCAUUUAAAUGGAGAAUAGAAGUUUUCACAGCACUUGUGUGUUUGUAUAAAGUUCUGUGCUUUUUAAAGCUUGACGAAAUCUCUGAUUAAAGCUUCGCUCAGCAAACAUUUACGUGUCUGCAUGUCAGUCAUUUCAAACCAGCUUCAUGAUUCCACCGAGCCCGUCUUUCUGCAGGUGUAGCUGCUCUUACAGUGAAUGUUGUGGCUUUCUAAAUUUAUCAUCACUCUAUGUUAUAUUUCCGACAACCACUCGUGUAGACAGUGUUCUUAACUGUUCUUAACCCUGAAAUACAGCUGCCUUUAAGAGCAGACAUUUCAACACUUGCUCCUUGUUCU